AAUUAUAAAAAUAAUGUAUAAUUAGCUGUCUUUCUUAGUUUAUAUAGGAAUGACCUAAGAGUAGCUGUGACUGUAAUCAUGGUGGGAAUGAAGCUAAUAUGACGUUAUUUCCUGCAUACAUGAAGGCUUGCAACGCGUCGCCAUGGAUGUGGAUGACUUCAAUUCUUCACUGCGAACACUGCUUGCAAUUCGUGACAGUCUUCAUUGCAGAUCUCUUGAGAUAAUUACAUCCAUCGCGAUCUGUGCAGUCUUCUGAGAUGAGUUCAUGAAUCCAAGGACAUCGAACUAAUCGAGUUUUCUCGGGGUAAAAGAAAGCGGCGGACCAACGUGAAACGCGUAGAGCAAAACACGGUCGGCCACAGUAGGUCCUCCGUGACUCCGUUUUGUUCUCUUAUCCUUGUCUUCCUUUCCGUCGAUAAGUUCAUCGCCGUAAGUGCACCUCACGCACUUUUCUGCUGCACACCCCCAGCCCAACACGAGUUGUUUUAGCUGGGGAAUUUUGUCGAACACUUGCUGGGCAUUCAUUGUUGCCAUAGGAAGAACAAGAGACGGACACUGGGCAAGCUUACUGUAUAUCAGAUUUGGAUUAGAACAUGUGAUGUCUGAAGAGACAUGCGAUCAAGAACAAGAGAGCGUACCGUCAAGAGUGCCUUGAGCUGCUCAAUCGAUCCCGACCUUUGAAGAGGGAGGACGGGGACAAGGAACCUCACUUCACGACAGAGAGGAUAUCAAGAGGAAGCACUACUGGUCACCGACCACAGAGACGAGGAAUUCAAGUGCCGGCGGAUAUGAUUCCGAUGCACGUCAUAAUUGCAGCCAGCGAGAUACGACGCAGCAGCCCAAUUCCAUUCGAUCAAAUUAAUUUUGACUAAUUUUGAUCGAGAUUUGAAGACGAUUUAGGAUAUAAUAUAUCGAUUCCAAUAUCACUUAUACCCAUCUCGAAUCCCCUCCUGUCUCUUACGAUUCAAACUCUAAAAAC
rnacentral:lncRNA from 1 species